rnacentral:rRNA from 1 species
GGCUCAGGACGAACGCUGGCGGCGUGCCUAACACAUGCAAGUCGAACGGGACUAUAUUGAUUAAUCUUCGGAAGCGUUGGUAUAGUUUAGUGGCGGACGGGUGAGUAACACGUGAGCAACCUGCCUUUCAGAGAGGGAUACCGUUUGGAAACGAACGCUAAUACCUCAUAACGUAUCGUGACCGCAUGAUCGUGAUACCAAAGGAGCGAUCCGCUGAAAGAUGGGCUCGCGGCUGAUUAGAUAGUUGGUGGGGUAACGGCCUACCAAGUCGACGAUCAGUAGCCGGACUGAGAGGUUGAACGGCCACAUUGGGACUGAGACACGGCCCAGACUCCUACGGGAGGCAGCAGUGGGGAGUAUUGCGCAAUGGGGCAACCCUGACGCAGCAACGCCGCGUGUGGGAAGAAGGUCUUCGGAUUGUAAACCAUUGUCUUCGGUGACGAUAAUGACGGUAGCCGAGGAGGAAGCUCCGGCUAACUACGUGCCAGCCGCAGC